rnacentral:rRNA from 1 species
UGGAGGAAAGCAGGGGAUCGCAAGACCUUGCGCUUUUGGAGUGGCCGAUGCCUGAUUAGCUAGUUGGUGGGGUAAUGGCCUACCGAGGCGACGAUCAGUAGUUGGUCUGAGAGGACGACCAGCCACACUGGGACUGAGACACGGCCCAGACUCCUACGGGAGGCAGCAGUGGGGAAUUUUGGACAAUGGGCGAAAGCCUGGUCCAGCAAUGCCGCGUGAGUGAAGAAGGCCUUCGGGUUGUAAAGCUCUUUCAGUCGAGAAGAAAAGGUUGUGACUAAUAAUCACAACUCAUGACGGUAUCGACAGAAGAAGCAUCGGCUAACUGCGUGCCAGCAGCCGCGGUAAUACGUAGGGUGCGAGCGUUAAUCGGAAUUACUGGGCGUAAAGGGUGCGCAGGCGGCUUUGUAAGUCAGAUGUGA